rnacentral:lncRNA from 1 species
ACGAUGCCGAUGGCCAUGCCGGCGGCGAGGCCGGCGAGGCCGCAGGCGAGGCCGGAGGAGAGGUGGGCGUAGCCGUCGAAGAGGAAGUAGGGCUUGGCCUUGGGGUUGAUCCCGGUGGAGAUGAUGACGGCGAUGAUGAGGCCGUAGAUCCCGAGCACCCCGGCCAUGACGACGGGCACGAUGGACUUCAUCACCAGCUCCGGCCGCAUCACCCCCAUCGACGCCACCCCCACCCCGC